GUUCCUCCUUGUACCUCUGGUAGAAUUCAGCUGUGAAUCCAUCAGGUCCUGGACUCUUUUUGGUUGCACUUCUCCUUCCUGCCACCACGUGAAGAAGGACAUGUUUGCUUCCCCUUCUGCUAUGAUUGUAAGCUUCCUGAGGCCUCCCCAGCCCUGCAGAACUGGCAUAAGGGCCAAAGAAAGGAGGAGAAGAGCUCUCAGAAUUUCCAAUUAGCACAUUUAAGCAGUGACAAUGUAUCGGAUCUGACCAGAAUACAAUACAUUGUAUGAUUAGGACCACAAUUCCAAUGAGUGGCAGAUACAAAACCUCAGCUCUCAAUGUGAAAACCAACCAGAAAGAAGUCCUUCUGGCUUUCCAGUUCUGUUGCAGGUGGUUGAACUUGUUUGAGGCCUGCCCACCCCACACUUAGGGAGAGGUGUGGCCGCAUCAGUGAGACCGGGAGCUCUGGAGCAGAUCUCCGCUGGAAUUCUGGCUCUGUCGUAGUCCUGCUGUGCAACAUUGGGCAAGUUACUUUGCCUCCCAAGACUUAGUUUUGACAACUGGAAAAUGAGAAUGAAAAUAAAACCUCUCCAGAGUCUUGUAGUGAGGAUAAAGUGAGCUAAAAUGACUGAGCUGCCGAAAACCUUGCCGCUCUCCUGUUCUCCUGAUAGGGAGGGAGUUCUCAAGAGAUCUGGUUGUUGUUUGGAAUCUUGAUUUCUCCUCUUACCCAGACAUUGCUGAUAAAGAGUGGGAACUAAAAUUCACAGUGCGGGGGCCAGAAGCAGAUCAAGAGAGAGCAAACCAGCAGAGACACCUCAAGAAAGGGAGCCUAGGAAGAACGGAGCCCUGAGGCCUAAUUUUGCUGUGAGUGGUUCCCCCUGAGCAUUCAAAGGGUGGGAAGGGAGCUUGUAGGCAGGAGCUGGGAAGGGAGUGGGCACUCUGUAUGGGGAGGGGUGCCGAGAGACA